UUUCCACAUUUGCGUCAUACAUCUUUGAUGCUGCCUCCUCUUUAACAGGCCAAAAGGCAUAGCAAAGACGAUGAACUCAAGACCAUUCAACAAUAAAGGUUCUGGGUGGCAAGCAUUGCUGGAGCUAAUAAAGCAAGAUGCCUACAUAAAAGCUGGUGGUCAUUUUAGCUCAUACCAGUUUACCAACACAUGCGUCCUGGACUCAUUCCUUGCUACUUUUCACA